UUGCUGUGAUGACUUAUCUUAGGACACCUUUGGAGUACUCAUGAAAAAAAAAAGUGAUUUCUGAGCAAC
rnacentral:snoRNA from 1 species